CAGCACGGUACCACCAUCCAUACUUCCACUGCCUCUUUCCACUCCCUCUUGUUUAGGAAGUUCCCUAACCAGAAAAACCUGACUAAGACUGUACAAAGGCUGGAUUUCCCUCUCAAAGUCGCACCUUCUUUGGCCCAGGCAAGUGCGCGGCCCUCAGCCAACCUCAACCACCCAACUGUGACAACUGAGAUAGAUGACAGCACACUGCUGGCAGAGACAGGCACGCUGGCUAGUGACACCUUCCUUCAGGCGUAUCUUUUGAAUUGACUUGCAAGGUGCAGUGAGGAUCUGGAUGUGGCAGCAACAAUUGAUGAGCAGCAGCCACAUUCCUACAAUCAUCUUCUGCCUCAUGCUGUCAGUACUCUUGCAGAGGAGCUUAUGGGCAUGAAAAUCAUCCCUUA